rnacentral:tRNA from 1 species
GGAGGGAUGCCGGAGUGGUUGAACGGGGCGGUCUCGAAAACCGUUGUGCGCGCGAGCGUACCCAGGGUUCGAAUCCCUGUCCCUCCGCCA